rnacentral:tRNA from 2 species
AAAAAUGUAGUUUAAAUUAAAACCCUGCUUUGAUAGGGCAGAAAUGCAGCGGUGUCAUUUUUA